rnacentral:rRNA from 1 species
UACGGAGGAUGCGAGCGUUAUCCGGAUUUAUUGGGUUUAAAGGGUGCGUAGGCGGACUGUCAAGUCAGCGGUAAAAUACGGGGACUCAACCUCCGCCCGCCGUUGAAACUGACGGUCUUGAGUGGGCGAGAAGUAUGCGGAAUGCGUGGUGUAGCGGUGAAAUGCAUAGAUAUCACGCAGAACUCCGAUUGCGAAGGCAGCAUACCGGCGCCCAACUGACGCUGAAGCACGAAAGCGUGGGUAUCGAACAGG